UUCGGUACAUCCAAGACAGGUGGUGCAUGGUUGUCGUCAGCUCGUGUCGUGAGAUGUUGGGUUAAGUCCCGCAACGAGCGCAACCCUUAUCUUCAGUAGCCAGCAGGUAAAGCCGGGCACUCUGGAGAGACUGCCGGGGAUAACCCGGAGGAAGGUGGGGAUGACGUCAAAUCAUCAUGCCCCUUAUGAUUUGGGCUACACACGUGCUACAAUGGCGUAAACAGAGGGAAGCGAGCCCGCGAGGGGGAGCAAAUCCCAAAAAUAACGUCCCAGUUCGGAUUGUAGUCUGCAACCCGACUACAUGAAGCUGGAAUCGCUAGUAAUCGCGGAUCAGAAUGCCGCGGUGAAUACGUUUCCGGGUCUUGUACACACCGCCCGUCACACCAUGGGAGUCGGAAAUGCCCGAAGUCUGUGACCUAACCGUAAGGGAGGAGCAGCCGAAGGCAGGUCGGAUGACUGGGGUGAAGUCGUAACAAGGUAGCCGUAUCGGAAGGUGCGGUUGGAUCACCUC
rnacentral:rRNA from 1 species